rnacentral:rRNA from 1 species
CUACGGAGGGGGUUAGCGUUGUUCGGAAUUACUGGGCGUAAAGCGCACGUAGGCGGAUUGGAAAGUUGGGGGUGAAAUCCCAGGGCUCAACCCUGGAACUGCCUCCAAAACUAACAGUCUAGAGUUCGAGAGAGGUGAGUGGAAUUCCGAGUGUAGAGGUGAAAUUCGUAGAUAUUUGGAGGAACACCAGUGGCGAAGGCGGCUCACUGGCUCGAUACUGACGCUGAGGUGCGAAAGCGUGGGGAGCAAACAGGAUUAGAAACCCUAGUAGUCC